ACGAAGGUUUCGGCCUUAGUGGCGGACGGGUGAGUAACGCGUAGGAAUCUAUCCAUGGGUGGGGGAUAACACUGGGAAACUGGUGCUAAUACCGCAUGAUACCUGAGGGUCAAAGGCGCAAGUCGCCUGUGGAGGAGCCUGCGUUCGAUUAGCUAGUUGGUGGGGUAAAGGCCUACCAAGGCGAUGAUCGAUAGCUGGUUUGAGAGGAUGAUCAGCCACACUGGGACUGAGACACGGCCCAGACUCCUACGGGAGGCAGCAGUGGGGAAUAUUGGACAAUGGGGGCAACCCUGAUCCAGCAAUGCCGCGUGUGUGAAGAAGGUCUUCGGAUUGUAAAGCACUUUCGACGGGGACGAUGAUGACGGUACCCGUAGAAGAAGCCCCGGCUAACUUCGUGCCAGCAGCCGCGGUAAUACGAAGGGGGCUAGCGUUGCUCGGAAUGACUGGGCGUAAAGGGCGUGUAGGCGGUUUUGACAGUCAGAUGUGAAAUCCCCGG
rnacentral:rRNA from 1 species